AUAGAGGGAAGAGAAAAUAAGUAUCAAAAGAUGGAGAUAAUGUUGCACAAAAAAUCAUUUUUAUAUAGUUGUAUCCAAACAGAGUAUUUUUUUUCUUUCAAAGAAGUGAUUUUUAUUUCGAUAAACAAACACAAAAUUGAUUUUUUUAAUAAAAUCUCUUAAAAUAAUAUUUAAAUUAUAGAAUGUCAAAAUGAUUUUUUUAAGCUGUAACAAAUGAGUCCUAUAUUUAAUUUAACAUUUACUAAAAAUAAGCUUUAUGGUGUUCAAGUGCUUUUAUCUCACCUUGGAUCUAUUUCAUGCAAUAUGUAACACCCUCAAACCCCAAUACAAUAUUUAAUAAUAAAAUCAACAUAUAAUCACAAAGGUUUAAGAUGUUACUUCAUCAUUAAUCUAAAAUAGUCAUAAAUCAUCAUAAUCAUAAAAGAGUCAAAAAUACAUCAUAUAACCAAAUGAAGUCAUAACUCAUAAAUCUCAUAAUGUAUCAAUAUAGGUGAACUCGAGGGUUCCUCAUAACAUAAAAAUUCAAAAGUAAAUAUAAAUAUACUCCCAGACACCCUAAUCAGAGCACAACCACUAAGAUUCCAAGGUAAAAGCAAGGAAAGGAGGAUUAGGCCUCAAGUCGUUCUUGGGUACUGACGUCUACUCAAACGUCCUGAAACUGCACGUCUACACCACGAAGAUGUAAGUGACCAAACAGUCACUUGAGGUUAAAAUACACGUUCAACAUAAACAAUAUAUAAGCUCAAGCAUAAUACUUUAGGAUUCAAAUAUCACAUAUAGAUACACUUAAUCAUUUCCUAAAAUACUAUCAUCAUAUAUAUAAUCUCUUUCAAUUAAUUACAUAAAUGCAACGAUUUUCAACUCAACAUCAUAAAACAUAGAAAAUAUUUACAUCAUCUACUUAUCACAAAGUCGUUUAUGCAUCACUCUCAUUUCAUCACCAAAGAACAUACAUAGCCAUACACACAUCUUCAUAUAUAUUCACAUAAACAAAUACAUGACUUUCACAUAGACUCAUAUUCAUGCAAUGUACUAGAUGAUUUUGCAUGCAAGUGGUACCGUUUUGGAUAUUGGAGGUCUAUCACCGAGUGAUCCCUCUACAUAUCUCUUCAUUUUCAAGACUUAUGAAUGCAUGGACUUCAAGUAUAUACUCGACAAUGCACAAUACCAUAAAUUCUUCAUUAUGUAAUUCACACCAUUAUAUAAUAUAUCACCACACUGAACUCAUCAUUUCAUUGUCAAAUCCAUAGAUUCAUACUUCAACAAUUCAUUAUCACCAAAGUAAUCAUAUACUACCUCCGUCCCUAAUUAUAAGACCCUUUUUAUAAGACCCAUUUGCUAUUUCGAACUACAUUAAUAAUUUUUUUACAUACAUACCCCUAUUUAUUAUACAUAUUUUUCUUCAAUCAGCAAUAAAUAAGAUAUGGAAAACAUAAACCAACUCUCUCUCUCUUAAGGAAUAUUAAAUUGUAAAAACAAUAGUGAUUACAAACAACUCUAAUACAAAUAUCCACUUUCUUAAUUCCCGUGAUUUUAGAAAAAGGGUCCUAUAUAUAGGGAUGGAGGUAUUAUCAUGAUAUUCACAAUAUAAUCUCAUCAUCAUGUUUAUCACAUCAACAACAUCCUGUUAUCAUAAACACAUCAAUAAACAACACCUUUUCAUUUAGCCAUAUCGCAUAAUAAACAAUCCGUUACUUACACUUAAUUAAUCAAUGAUUCCAUCAUCUAUAAUUAAUCAAUUCAACCACUAUUCAUCAUCUUAUCAUUAGCAUAUAAUGAAUUGCAAGCUAACAUGUCAAAGUUCGUCUAUUUUUCAAAGUUUGUCUAUUUUCACAUAUUUCACCAAAUCCUAGUUACGUGCUCACAUACACUCCUUAUUAUCCUUACAUGUUAUCUUUAUGUCAAUCAUUACAUUAGUGCAAGUAUGAUGGGAUAAAACCGCAAGUGCACGGUCUUACCGAAGUAGUAAUAAAAGUAUCGUUCCGACAGGGAGUUAUGAAUUCAAUUAACUUUUAACAAUGAUUAGAAUGAAAGUUUAAAAGGUACAAAGUUGCAUUUUUUUUAAAUAAAAGAAAAUAACAAUAAUAAAAUAAAAAGAGCCUUGGGAUUAUUGGUUCAUCUAAUUGACAAGUCCUUCACAAACCAAACUAUUAAACUUAUAACCUUAUGUUAGACCUAACUUCUAAAGACAAUUUCUCUUUUGUUCCUCUAGCAACCAAGCCUAUUUCACUGACUUGAUUACUAUUAGAUUUUGGUUCUAGGUUGCAACCAAGCCUAUUUCACUGACUUGAUCAGAAUUCGAAUCCUUGAAGUUCGAAACUAUAUGUCUCAAAGAUUGUAAAGACUAUUUCACUGCCUUUACAAUCUUUGUCUAAAUUUACUUGAUCGAAUAUCAAAGCCUCCACUUUCAUUUU
rnacentral:lncRNA from 1 species